AAAAGCACUUUGAAAAGAGAGUGCAAAAGACCGUGAAACCGUUAUAGUGGAAGCAGAUGGAGCCGACGUAUCCAGCGCGUAUUUAGCCAUUGUCGAGCGUGAUUCGCCUGUUAGGGGUUCUGCAAAAGUACCGAGUGGGCGUUGUUGCGUACGGCGAGUGGUGCACUUGCGUGCAGAGUGCGCCGAAUCAAUAGGGCCUGUCGCUCGAGGUUCGUUUGAGAGGACCAAUCUUUUGGGUUUGGAAACCUCGACGAACGGGCAGCGGUCGGGUGCGAUUGCCAUGCUUAAGACGUGCCGAUUCUGAGGUUGUUGCUCAAGUUUGGUGCUGUUCAAAUGGGCGCAUGCGCUAGUUUGGAAGGUAUUGAAGUUGUGCGGCAGUCUCUCGACAUGUAUUCGGUGUGUAGUCGGUGACCCAUUUGACCCGUCUUGAAACACGGACCAAGGAGUUUAAAGUGUGUGCGAGUGAUUGAGUGUAAAAACUUAAAAGCGUAAUGAAAGUAAGACACUUAGUGUCUGUGAUUCGACCCGAACGAGUUUUACUUAAUUGGGGCAGUAUCGACCCAUGACUAGAACAUGUUCUGUUGUGGAGUUUGAGCGCACGCUUUGAGACCCGAAAGAUGGUGAACUAUGCCCGAACAGGA
rnacentral:rRNA from 1 species